rnacentral:misc_RNA from 1 species
UCUGUGGAACAUAGCCUUCAAUUGCAUUAGAUGGACCCAUCCACUCUUCUAAUGAAACUUCACCACCCUUUAAAUCCACUUUUUCCUGGAUCUUCAACUUAGAAGAUCCUCGAUCUCCAUUUUCCUUCACAUCAUCUAAGGAAUGCAAAUGCAACCCCUUAAAUAGAUUCAGGACUUGAUUAAGCUUUGCUGGAUUCAGUGUAGAGCUUCUCUCAUCCUGCAAGCUACCAGCAAAUGCUCCGCUAUUGACUACACAAUUUGUUGAACAGUACAUGUAUGUUUCAUGAAGAUCAUAAACUUUAUGCUCCUUCAAUGAUAUUCUGUAAUGUCCUUUCCGAGACCUUUCAGAAGGCAGAGAAUUGCUGCAAAGAGGAUAACCACACAUGUUGGCAAUUGAUCGUUCGGUCACUACAUCCUGAUAAUCACUCCGAGACAACAGAGAUCCAGCAGCAAUGAGUUGGCUUUCAUCUUUGAUGCCUUCAAGAAGACAGAGUUGUAAUUUGUGGACAGCAUCUUUAACAGCGACGGCUUCUCCUUUUGCCAUUAGAGAACUCGUCCGAAGUACUUAAAAGAAAAAAGGUACUGGUAAUUCCACCCUAAAUCAUCAACUUAAUUGAAUCUCUCUACAGCGCCCCCAAGAACAACGAAGGAAUCAGGUCUCUG